rnacentral:rRNA from 1 species
GACGAACGCUGGCGGCGUGCCUAAUACAUGCAAGUAGAACGCAGUUGCGAACGGGUGAGUAACGCGUAGGUAACUGCCUCAUAGCGGGGGAUCACUAUUGGAAACGUUAGCUAUUACCGCAUACUUUGCUCUGGACCUGCUUUGUAUUACCUAGUUGGUGAGGUAAAGGCGCACCAAGGCGACGAGACAUCGCCGCCCUGAGAGGGGGAGCGGCCACAAUGGGACUGAGACACGGCACAGACGCCUAAGGGAGGCAGCAGUAGGGAAUCGUCGGCAAUUGACGGAAGUCUGACCGAGCAACGCCGCGUGAGUGAAGAAGGUGUUCGGAUCGUAAAGCUCUGUUGGAAGAGAAGCGGUAACGAACCAGAAAGGGACGGCUAACUACGUGCCAGCAGCCGCGGUAAUUC